AGUUUUCCAAAUGGUUGAACUUGGUUGUCAAUGUGAUGUCCCUUAAGCCCAGACAAAGAUAAUGUUAUUUACUAACCAGCCUCUUCCUCUCCGGCUCAGAUUAAAAAAUAAAUAAAAUCACAUUAGAGAUUUAGCCAAAUUAGGCAGUCAUAAAACAAGAAUCUUAUGGAAUUGAUUGAUAGGGAAAUAUUGACCAUCUAGUAGCCCACUGUAAAAUGAGCACUAAAACAACUAUCAUACAUUCAUACAUUCGCUAGCUAUAAAUCAAGGCCUACUCACAAUUACAGUAUGACUAUCUGUACACAAGAUUAUGUAUCUAAUAUAUAUGAAAAAAUAAAAUAAUUUGAUAGCUAUAUGUUGAUUUAAAGGAAAUUAUGGAAAGCUAGAUUGUGGCAUAAAUAGUAGCCAAUGCCGUAGUAUUGGUAUAGUCUUUGUAGCGUAUCUAUUUGACAUCAAUGGGUCAACUCAGGUUAGCUAUCAAAUCUCAUUGUUAUUAAAAUUAUAAACUAAACUGUACAAACAAUUGUCACUACCUAGUAUUUUAAGAAACAUUAUUUUACGAUGUUUAUACUAUUAGUAAAUACUGUAUUCCUUAUGAUGUAUUUUGGAAACUUUUUAAAACAUGCAUUUAAACAGACAUUCCUGAGGUCCUACAAAGCAGCAGCAAUCUGCGACGGAGGUGAGAAUGGUGCAAGUGAUAAACAAGUUAAUUGGGGCAAAAUACAUUGCCAUCGCGUGUUGGCGGAGUUGCCCUUGUCCACUUCACAGAUUGGAGGCUGAUCCUGGAUUGUGUCCCCUACAUCAACGGCAAGUUCAAGGACAACUAGAGUCACCUCUGGCUCAGAAUUGACUACAACUUGGGGAAGGGCAUGGGUGGAAUGCUUGCUCUUUCUGCGUUGCGAAGGAGUUUUCCCAAAGGGAUGUCAUGUUAGAUUGAAUGCUGUUUUGUUCCAAUGUUAUUUA